CGUAACAUCACUCGAACAUCCAUAACGUCUGUCUUACGUCCGUAAGAGUGCCGUAACCUCACUCGACCAUCCGAAACGUCUGUCGAACAUCCGUAACGUCCGUAACAUCGCCGUAACGUCUGUCACAGCUCCGUGACAUCACAGAUGAUCGAAAUAACGCCGUAACGUCUGUCACACGUCCGUGACGACCGUAACAACGCCGUAAUGUCCGUCUGAAGUCCCUGACGUCCAUAAGAACACCGUAACGUCUGUCACAGGUCCGUGACGUCACAGAUGAUGGAAACAACGCCGUAACGUCCGUAACAACGCCGUAACGUCUGUCACAGGUCCGUGACGUCAUAGAUGAUCGAAACAACGCUGUAACGUUUCUCAGAGAUCUGUGACGUCACAGAUGAUAGAAAAACAACGCCGUAACUCCUGUCACAGGUCCGUGACGUCACAGAUGAUCGAAACAAGGCCGUAACUUCUGUAACAGGUCCGUGACGUCACAGAUGAUAGAAAAACAACGCCGUAACGACUCUAAUAGAUCUGUGACGUCACAGAUGAUAUAAACAACGCCGUAAUUUCUGUCACAGGUCCGUGACGUCACAGAUGGUCAAAACAACGCCGUAAUUUCUGUCACAGGUCCGUGACGUCACAGAUGAUAGAAACAACGCCGUAACUUCUGUCACAGGUCCGUGACGUCACAGAUGAUAGAAAAACAACGCCGUAACGUCUCUAAUAGAUCGGUGACGUCACAGAUGAUAGAAACAACGCCGUAAUUUCUGUCACAGGUCCGUGACGUCACAGAUGAUAGAAAAACAACGCCGUAACGUCUCUAAUAGAUCUGUGACGUCACAGAUGAUAGAAACAACGCCGUAAUUUCUGUCACAGGUCCGUGACGACACAGAUGAUAGAAAAACAACGCCGUAACGUCUCUAAUAGAUCUGUGACGUCACAGAUGAUAGAAACAACGCCGUAAUUUCUGUCACAGGUCCGUGACGUCACAGAUGAUAGAAACAACGCCGUAAUUUCUGUAACAGGUCCGUGACGUCACAGAUGAUAGAAACAACGCCGUAAUUUCUGUCACAGGUCCGUGACGUCACAGAUGACAGAAAAACAACGCCGUAACGUCUCUAAUAGAUCGGUGACGUCACAGAUGAUAGAAACAACGCCGUAAUUUCUGUCACAGGUCCGUGACGUCACCGAUGAUAGAAAAACAACGUCGUAACGUCUCUAAUAGAUCUGUGACGUCACAGAUGAUAGAAACAACGCCGUAAUUUCUGUCACAGGUCCGUGACGUCACAGAUGAUAGAAACAACGCCGUAACUUCUGUCACAGGUCCGUGACGUCACAGAUGAUAGAAACAAGGCCGUAACGUCUCUCAGAGAUCUGU